ACUCUGAGUAAAUAGAAAGCCAUUGGAGGGUUUUAAGCAGAGGAGGAACAUGCUCUGACUUAUGAUUUCGAAAGAUCACUGUUGAGAAUAGACUGUAAGGGGGCAAUGGUGAAAGUUGAUAGACCAUUAAUAGUCUAGAUGAGAGAUGACCAUGUCUUCGAUGAGGGGGUAGGAGUGAUGAUGAUGAUAAAUUAUUGGAUUUUGGAUAUAUUUUGAAGGCAGAACCAAUAGGCUUUUCUGAUGAAAAUGAUGUGAUAUGAGAAAAAAAUGACAAAAAGGUUGUGGGUGAUGAUGAGAGAAGAGAAUACAAGGCCAAAGAGAAGGGAUUUCCCUUGUUGUGGAGGAGUCUCACUCACCUUGAAGCAGGAGGGAAAGCAGGGAUCUGGGUGGAAAAAGAUCUAGAGAAUCCUCAUCUAAGCAGAAGAUGAAGGAGUAAAGAGAGAAAGAUGGGUGUAUUGGAAGCUUGCGGGUGAUGGAGAAAGUUUCAAAUAAUUCUUGGAAAAUAAGUUGAAAAAAGAAACGUAACACAGUUGUUAGAGCAGGGCAUGAUUGCUUGUGCCUAUAGUCCCAGCUACUUGGGAUCCUGAGGCAGGAGGAUCUCUUGAGCCCAGGAGAUGGAGGCUGCGUUGAGCUGUGUUUAUGCCACUGCACUCCAGCCUAAGCGACAGAGCAAGACUCCAUUUCUUAAAAAUAAAACAAAAAUGUAGUUGUUAGUAUUGAGGGCCCAUAAGAAGUUGGUGAUGAUGAACCUAUCUACGCUUUUGAUCACCUCCAGCAGAGUUUGACUGUUGCGUGCAAGCAAAGAGAAAGGAGAUGGCGGGGUUCAAUGAGGGCUGUCGUUUUCCUAGAUAGGUUUGUAGAAAAAACAGAGAGGAAGGGAGUUUAAGGGAUUGGCAAAAAGGAUAUAGUAAUAACAGACCAUGGAAUAAAAAUUGAGUAAGAAGGAAAGUGAAAACAGCUGAAGGCUAAUGAAUUGGGAGAAAGCAGAUGGAUCAAUAGACUGGAGGCCCCAAUAUUUCUAAGAGCAGUUGGAGUUGUUGUCAUGCAAGUUGGAAGGAAAGAUGCUUAUCCAAAAGCUGAAUGCCUGAAUCAGUAAUCUUGCGGCAGAGCUAUUGUAGGUGAUGACAAGGUCAGUCCUUUGAAGUCUAUGCAUAUAUAUCUUCAUUAUAGGCUGACUUGCCAAGUCUUAGAAUUUUUACAAUAUAACCUCACUGUGGAUCUCAUCUAAGCAGGUUUGGUAACCAAAAGCUCAAGAGCGUGAGAUUGAGACCCCAGAGAGCUCAUAGCCUGUCACAAACCAGCUGUGUAACCACGGACCUUGAGGAAAUGAACCUUAUGGUCCCUUCCGUCUCUAAUCUGUGACUCCAUAGCCCCAUUAUAAUAUAGCCUUUUCCCAAACACUGACCUUCAACAUAGACCCUGGGGGAUUUUUCUAUUAAAAAUUUGCAACUCUGCACAUUUUUAUCUGCUGAUGCCUCUUGGAAUAUUAAAUGCUUAGAAAGCUGUCGUCGGGAUCACAUUCUGGAAUCUUGACCAUGUAGUCAUCUGAGUGGGUGUGACAGGAAGUAUACACCAGCAGCAUUUGUGUCUGAGUGUCCUUCAGACACUGGGAUGGCUGCACCUUUACCCGUCCUCUCCAACUCUCUCCACCUAGAAAGUAUUCUUUUCUCUUAAUUUUGUUAGAGUUAUAUAGGAAUGCUCCUUCAGCAGAAAUGACAGAGGCUGUUGCUCUCAGAAUCAAAUGCAAUAAUGUGACCUGUAAAUUCCUGUGAAUAUUUGGAUAUUUUAGCGAUAUUUGUUUAUUCAGAAGAGAUUCUGGAUGCAGAACUCUCCUCCUCUCUGUUCUCUAACCCUGCUUUCCACCAUCAUUCUUCUCUCUCUAGGGCACAGAGAGAAUUAAGAACAACCUAAGGUAAAUUUUUAACAAGAUGGUCUAGCUUGAGCUCUGUAGGCUUGACUGAUGAAAUAAGUAGUAGUUUUUUGCUAAAAUAACCACAUUGUUUGCAAAAGUUUUCUCCUUUGAGUUUUCUAGGGUCAUUACAAUGAUCUAACUGCCUUACCUGCUUUUGAACUGGUUGAGCCUCUUGUGGGACCGAAAACAAAAGAAGGGUGUUGAAAUGCAAAUAGAUAACUCUGGGUCCCAGUCCCUGACUGCAAAAGGAAGCCAAAACUGACAACAACGUCUCCUUCUCUACGGAGGUUUGUAGAAAGGCUGUACAAAAAUCUCACAAGAUGUAUUUCUUCUCGUGGACUGGAGUCCCAAGGUGCUUAAGAGCUCUUCAAUUUGUUAAUGGAAAGAAACACCAUUUACACCGGAUGGCUACAAAGCAACCUUAUUCUGGUAAAAUAAUCUCUUAAAUCCUUAUAUACACAGUCACUAACUGUUGGCUUUAUAAGGUCAGUAGUAGCAAAACAGCCCUGUGGCAGUUAGAAGCUCAGCAUGUCCAAGAUAGCACUAACGGGGAACAAACACAAAAAACAGCAAACAGUUUAAACAGUACCAUUUGAUUUGAAUUUAACCCAAUCUUAAACAGAGGACUCUAAAAAAACAAUUACCAGCAAAGUUACAUUAAUUAGGGAG
rnacentral:lncRNA from 10 species